rnacentral:rRNA from 1 species
AGCUAAUAGAUACCCGGGUAGUCCACGCCGUAAACUAUGGAUGCUAGCUGUUAGAGGUAUCGACCCCUCUAGUAGCGAAAGCUAACGCGUUAAGCAUCCCGCCUGUGGAGUACGGUCGCAAGACUAAAACAUAAAGGAAUUGACGGGGACCCGCACAAGCGGUGGAGCGUGUUGUUUAAUUCGAUGGUAAGCGAAGAACCUUACCCAGGCUUGACAUCCUUGGAAUUUUGGCGAAAGCCGAGAGUGCCUUCGGGAACCAAGUGACAGGUGUUGCAUGGCCGUCGUCAGCUCGUGUCGUGAGAUGUUUGGUUAAGUCCAUCAACGAGCGCAACCCUUAUAGUUAGUUGAAUUUUUCUAGCUAGACUGCCCUGGCGACAGGGAGGAAGGAGGGGAUGAUGUCAGGUCAGUAUUACCCUUACGUCUGGGGCUACAAACACGCUACAAUGGCCGGUACAAAGGGCAGCCAAGUCGCGAGACGGAGCAAAUCCCAUCAAAGCCGGUCUAAGUUCGGAUAGCAGGCUGAAACUCGCCUGCUUGAAGCUGGAA